UAAACCACCAUUCUGCACCAGCCCGUCUCAAGAAUUCUUUCUUAGUCGUCGGUUCUGGACCUCACCCCAACGAACCUCACCUAUAUUCCAAAACCCCAUCAGCUCCACCCAGCCAGGUGCCCCU